rnacentral:rRNA from 1 species
GACGAACCGAGCGAACGUUGUUCGGAAUCACUGGGCUUAAAGGGCGCGUAGGCGGGUGCUCAAGUCCGGGGUGAAAUCCCACAGCUCAACUGUGGAACUGCCUCGGAUACUGGGCGUCUCGAGGGUGGCAGGGGUAUGCGGAACUAUCGGUGGAGCGGUGAAAUGCGCAGAUAUCGGGAAGAACACCCGUGGCGAAGGCGGCUCUCUGGGACGGUACUGACGCUGAGACGCGAAAGCGUGGGGAGCGAACAGG